rnacentral:rRNA from 1 species
AUGUGCUCGCAUCCGCUUAGAAGCACAACAAAUUCUGCCAUGUUAUCAACAGCAAUUCCUAAGAUUUCCAAGGCACCACGUGACUCGAUGUGUGUGACCUUAUCAGUUGUUGACCUAGAAUGCUUGGCUAAACAGAAGCGGUUGCUAGAGGGGUCAUUACUGCUAACCUCAUCAAAGCCAACACUUUUUUGCACGGCUUGGUACCUCAAGAUGUCCAACAUGCGGUGUCCUCCAUACAUGGCCUCUGAGAGCAUCUUGAACUGCAUCAUCAUCCCGGUGUUGGGUGAUGUACCGCGCAUCCGCCUCCUCGACCACGGUGGCUACUCUCAUCAGGAGGUGCUGCAAUGUCUCCGCCACAUUUUCCUCCUCUAA